rnacentral:rRNA from 1 species
UACGUAGGGUGCUAGCGUUAUCCGGAUUUAUUGGGCGUAAAGGGUGCGUAGGCGGUCUUUUAAGUCGGUGGUUAAAGGCUACGGCUCAACCGUAUUAAGCCGUCGAAACUGGAAGACUUGAGUGCUGGAGAGGAAAGUGGAAUUCGCAGUGUAGCGGUGAAAUGCGUAGAUAUUGAGAAGAACACCAGUGGCGAAGGCGGCUUUCUGGACUGUAACUGACACUGAUGCACGAAAGCGUGGGUAGCAAACAGG